AGGACGAACGCUGGCGGCGUGCUUAACACAUGCAAGUCGAGCGAGGCCCUGUCUUCGGACAGGUGCCCUAGCGGCGAACGGGUGAGUAACACGUGGGCAACCUGCCCCUAGCACUGGGAUAACUCCGGGAAACCGGGGCUAAUACCAGAUAUGACCUCCGAGGGCAUCCUCGUUGGUGUAAAGGAUUCUGGCUAGGGAUGGGGCCCGCGGCCUAUCAGCUUGUUGGUGGGGUAACGGCCUACCAAGGCGACGACGGGUAGCCGGCCUGAGAGGGCGACCGGCCACACUGGGACUGAGACACGGCCCAGACUCCUACGGGAGGCAGCAGUGGGGAAUAUUGCACAAUGGGCGAAAGCCUGAUGCAGCGACGCCGCGUGAGGGAUGACGGCCUCGGUUGUAAACCUCUUCAGCUCCGACGAAGCGAAAGUGACGGUAGGAGCAGAAGAAGCACCGGCCAACUACGUGCCAGCAGCCGCGGUAAC
rnacentral:rRNA from 1 species